AGGAACUUGGAGGAGAACCGAUGUCCAUCUGGAGAAUCCGGAGUACCAUACCAGAUGGUUCUUUAAAUACUUCCUGGGAAAAGUCCAUCAGAACUAUGUAGGAACAGAUGCAGAGAAGAACCCCUUCUACUUGUCAGUGGUACUAUCAGACCAAAACAACCAACGGGUCCCUCAGUACCGGGCUAUUCUCUGGAGAAAGACGGGUACACUAAAGAUCAGCCUUCCUUAUAGCCCUACAAAAACACUAUCAGUCAAGUCCAUCCUAAGUGCAAUGAACCUGGACAGGUUUGAG